ACUGCGAAUGGCUCAUUAAAUCAGUUAUCGUUUAUUUGAUAGUACCUUACUACUUGGAUAACCGUGGUAAUUCUAGAGCUAAUACAUGCUUAAAACCCCGACUCACGAAGGGGUGUAUUUAUUAGAUUAAAAACCAAUGCCCUUCGGGGCUCUUUGGUGAUUCAUAAUAACUUUUCGAAUCGCAUGGCCUUGCGCCGGCGAUGGUUCAUUCAAAUUUCUGCCCUAUCAACUUUCGAUGGCAGGGUCUUGGCCUGCCAUGGUGACAACGGGUAACGGAGGGUUAGGGCUCGACCCCGGAGAAGGAGCCUGAGAAACGGCUACUACAUCCAAGGAAGGCAGCAGGCGCGCAAAUUACCCAAUCCCGACUCGGGGAGGUAGUGACAAUAAAUACUGAUACAGGGCUCUUUUGGGUCUUGUAAUUGGAAUGAGUACAAUUUAAAUCCCUUAACGAGGAACAAUUGGAGGGCAAGUCUGGUGCGC
rnacentral:rRNA from 1 species